CCUACGGGAGGCAGCAGUAGGGAAUCUUCCACAAUGGGCGAAAGCCUGAUGGAGCAACGCCGCGUGGGUGAAGAAGGUCUUCGGAUCGUAAAACCCUGUUGUUAGAGAAGAAAGUGCGUGAGAGUAACUGUUCACGUUUCGACGGUAUCUAACCAGAAAGCCACGGCUAACUACGUGCCAGCAGCCGCGGUAAUACGUAGGUGGCAAGCGUUAUCCGGAUUUAUUGGGCGUAAAGGGAACGCAGGCGGUCUUUUAAGUCUGAUGUGAAAGCCUUCGGCUUAACCGGGGUAGUGCAUUGGAAACUGGGGGACUUGAGUGCAGAAGAGGAGGGGAGAACUCCAGGGGGAGGGGUGAAAUGCGUAGAUAUAUGGAAGAACACCAGGGGGGAAAGGGGCUCUCUGGUCUGUUACUGACGCUGAGGUUCGAAAGCGUGGGUAGCAAACAGGAUUAGAUACCCUGGUAGUC
rnacentral:rRNA from 1 species